GGGUGUUGGCUGCAUACCGCAGUGGAACAGGUUCAUGCGCAGGUCGGGCCGCCGCG
rnacentral:ncRNA from 1 species